GAUGAACGCUAGCUACAGGCUUAACACAUGCAAGUCGAGGGGAAACGAUAUUGGAAGCUUGCUUCUGAUAGGCGUCGACCGGCGCACGGGUGAGUAACGCGUAUCCAACCUGCCCAUCACUUGGGGAUAACCUUGUGAAAGUAAGACUAAUACCCAAUGACGUCUCUAGAAGACAUCUGAAAGAGAUUAAAGAUUUAUCGGUGAUGGAUGGGGAUGCGUCUGAUUAGCUUGUUGGCGGGGUAACGGCCCACCAAGGCGACGAUCAGUAGGGGUUCUGAGAGGAAGGUCCCCCACAUUUGGAACCUGAGACACGGGUCCAAAACUCCCUACGGGAGGCAGCAGUGAGGAAUAUU
rnacentral:rRNA from 1 species